GAACAAAACUCACAAAUACACCAACAGGAUGGAAUUUAGAAAAACUGGAAAUAUGGCACCAGAUUUUAAGUACCGUAGUAGGCAAAGCAAUGCCCAUUUUUAAGCCUUGGUGUUAAAGGAUGGCAGAGACAAGGAAAAGGCCAUAAUAGUUCAACCCAAAUGCAGAGAAUCUGUAUGAUCUAUCCCAGUCUACUGGAAUGCCAACAGAAGAGUGCAGU